rfam:Myotis lucifugus cont2.48833, whole genome shotgun sequence.
GGCACUUCUCGGGUGACACCCUAGAAUCAGGCUCCCUCCUCUCUGGUUCCGGGUGCAUCACCUGAGAACUGUA